AUUCGAAUAACUCGAAUAAUUCGAAUAUCAAACUAUAAUAAUUUACAUUAUUACCCCAAACUCUUAAACCUCUUCACUUUCCUCCCAAAACUUUUACCUCCUUCCCACUUCCCACUUCCCCAAACCCAUUCCCCCUCAUUUUUUUUAAUAUUUCUCUCCCAAAAUUUUAUUCCUCCCAUUUAUUCCCCUCCCCACUCCAAAAUUUUACUCCCUCAACCUCCAAAACUUUUUAUUUUCCCACUAAACUUUUACUUCUCAACCUUUACCCCCAAAUAAAAAAUUAAAAUCAUCCAAAAAAAAUUCCUAAACCUAAAUAAUAAUAAUUUUAUUUAUAUCUACUAUUUAUAUUAUUAAAUUAAAUUUCACAUUUUGUACUAUUUAUAUUAUUGAAUUGUUUUAUCAUAUUGAAUCUUUUAUAAAUUUUUGCUAAAAUUGAAUUAUUAAUGAUGCCAUAAAAUAUUCGUAUUAAUAUUUUAUGUUGGUAUCAAUUUCACAUUUUAUCUUUAAUAUAAUUUUUAUUAGAAAAUCAUAUUUUUUACAUUUAAUAUAUUUUUUAAUUUCAAAAUACAUAGUGCUAAGAAUCAGAAGAUAACUGAAGCAACUAAGCAAGCAAAGAAGUUAACCCGUGUAUAAAAGAUUAAUAAAUAAAUUAUAAGGGGAUCAAAGUUAAUAACAAAUUUGAUUAUGGUGGACAAAUUUGACUACGGUGGGUGGCAAUGAUUAUAAGGACCUAAAAUAUUUUUUAAAAUUUAACUCGAAUAAAUAUAUUUGAUAAAAUUUCAAAUCAAGUUAGGAUGAUAAAUUCGAGUUAGGAUGAUUUUUUGAGACUAUUUUUGAGUUAAUUGAGUCUCAAAAAUCAUCAUCAUAUACCAUGUUCAUCACAAAUUUUCAAGUCACCAAGACUUUUAUACAUUAAAGUAUACACUAACACACAUAUACAUGCCACAACCUUAGACUCAAAAUGAUCACAUAACUACCAAUUCAGUGGUAGUGUGAGCUUUGAAAUAAUCCAGCUUGAUGAGCUUCGAAACAAUCUACAAUGAAAAGGGAAAACAAACAAGGCAAACAAAGUAAGCAUAUAGGACACUUAGUAAGCUCAUAUGUAUAGUACAAGACUUACCUUAUCUUUUUGUAUAGAUAUUGUAAGCUAUCUUAACUUGGCAUAGUUUUGCUAGACAUGGCAAAUCAAAACAUCAAUAAGGUGAGCAUUAACUUAUAAUCAACCAUAUGAUGCCACAAUUACUUAACAUGCCAAUUCAUGUCACUUUAGAUAACUAACCUCAAAAACUCAUUUAAUUAAAGGUAAUACAAUCACAUACAUGUUAAAGGCAUUACUCCAAUCCAUUUUUCAUAUUUAGUUCAUUCAAUAUUUUUCCAUUUGAUCAUCAAGUUUAUUUCAUUUCAUCUCAUUUUAAUUUCACAUUUCAUAUAUUGUUUCGCCCAAUGAACCCUAGUAAAUAGACUCGGAUUCACAUGUAUCUACACCACACCAGUUGCUCAUUCGAGCUGAAAUUAUACAUAUCAAGUUACCUGUUCAGGCUAAACCUUUACAAUGACAUAUCAGGUUACUCAUUCAAGCUAAACUUGUGUCACAUAUAAUUGAGAAUCUAUAACAAAUGCUAGACCUCGAAAACAUCUAUAAUCAAUCCCGUACAAGUGUGCAUAAGACCCUAUUGGCAUGCCAAUCGUAUCCUGAUAUUUACUAAGCUCACACGGGCAUCCAUUACACAUAUUGAUUAUUCUGGGACUAAUCAAUAAUUUUAACUUUUCCUUAAUUACCUCUAUUUUGAUCCUAUUCUUGAUAUAUACAAUUAUUCCAUACAAUCCAUCAAUGCCAAACAUUUUCCCAAUAUGCCAUGACAUAAAUGAACCUAUGAAAUCUCAUUUUUUAUACCCCUAAAGUUUUAUAUUUUAUUCAAUUUAGUCCCUAAAUUCAAAAUAGCCGUAACUUUCAAUUUUUUAACCACAGUUUAAAAUUUGAAUUCAAAUACAUUCAUUAGGGACCCUUUAAAUUUUUAUUUAUACCAAAAUUUUACAAAAAUUGCAUAUUUUAUUCACUUUAGUCCCUAUUUACAAAACUAAUAAUUAAACUUUACAAUCUAGUCCUUUUUAUAAUCCAAGCUUAAAACCUAUCAAUUUCACACCAAUUUCUUCAAGAAACCAACAAAGGAAACUUAAAAGUUUUUUUUAAAAAUUGGUACAUGGGCUAGCUAAAUCAAGCUCUCAUGACCUAAAAAACAUAAAAAUUAUAAGAAAAAAAGCUAAGAUUUACCUACUAAUUGGUGACCAAAUGCAUAUAAGCUUCCAAGGGUUUUCUUUCUUUCAAUUUCGACAAGAUGAAGAAGAUGAAAUAAUGGUUUUUCAAGAUUUCCCACUAACUUAGUAUAUAUAGUUUAAUUAGGAUUUAAUUAAGCUAAAUUAAUUAACAAAAUCAUGGUUUAAUUAACUUAAACCUAUCUUAAUUAACAUUAGUGUAUUUCAUCAACAUCAUCCACUAUCUAACAUUUAAAUUGGCUAAUUGUUAUUUAAAUCCCUAAGCCUUUGACCAAUUAAAAACUUAUAGCGAUUGGACUUUUAUAAUUUAGCCCGUCUACCUAAAUUAACUAUUAAUUUGGAAAAAAAAUUCUAGACCAAACUUAAAUAUAUUUUUAUACAAACUUCGUAAAUAUUCAUAUUUAAUAUUUACAGACUCGAUUUAUAGAAAUAGGGUUUUGAAACUGCCUUUUCUGGCACCAUUGAAAAUUAGAUUAUUACACCAAACUUGAACUGCUAGUAACUACUCUUCAAGCCUUCAAUUUUAACUCAAUUGGUCUUCAUGGUUUGGGCUCUAACUCUAAAAAUAGAUAGUCUAAUGCUUUUGUUCUAAAAUUUUCCAACUCUGAAAAUAGACAAGUAAGAUAAUGAAACAAUGCCUUAAGUUGUGGUCACUAUUUCAGGCAUAGAAUUCACCUUGCCUUCAAAUAUGUCAAUAAUCUCCCCUUUUGGAAAUUUUUGAAUAAAACAUACAUAGGGAAAAUUAAAAUAAUCACAAUUACAUACUCCCCCCCUAAGGAUCUCCCCUUUCAUCAAACAAUCGCAACUACCUUAUCUCAAACCAUAACAAAAGUAAAAGCUUGUUAAUAUGAUCCAAAACAUGUAAGGGCAAGAGUACAAGAUUAUUGGAUUGAGUGAACCACCAUACUAGAUUGACGAGAAUUGUAUUUCUAAUUUUGAGGUGUUUAUUGCCCAAAAAGUUGUACUACUCACUCACUACUCCCAUUUUUUUGUUUAAUGAUUGCAAAAGGAUCACUAAAGUUGCCAAGACAAGAUAUCCAACUUCAUGGCCAAUAGCUUACUAUUGUAUGCUUUGAGGUCAUUGAUUUCCAUAUCAUUGGCAACACUCUCAUAAAAAAAGCAACUUGAGAAGCCUCUAUGUAAUAGCCUAAUCCGCCUAUCUGAUUGACAAACGAUGAUGUUAUCAAAAAACAAAAAUCAUUUUGGAUUGACAAAAACAUUGGUUUUAGAAAUUAAGACAAUUAAGAAAAUGUAAAUAAAACAAUCUUAAGAAUAAUGUUUAGUGGAGUAAUAUUUUUUAAAACAAAACCAAAAGAAAAUAAAUGUAUACGUUCUAAAAUAUCACUCGCGGGAUUAAAAGCAUUAAAGGAUAAAUCAAGGGAAAAUAAAAGUAAGUCUUGAUUUUCAUAAUAUAAAAGUUAGCAAAUUCGGCAAAGAGCCAACAUUCAUUAUAUAUAGACGGUUGUAUAAAAGAAGUUCAAAUUAACUUUUACAUAAUUCAACAUGAUAAACUUAAACCACAGGCCACCCCGACUCGAUAUACAUGUUACGACAGAACGAAGAUUGGCUCACAAAAGAGUCCGCUGGCUGGCUGAAUCCCUUCAAAAGUUUACUUUCUCAACAGAUCCUAAAAUGGUGAGGGAAAAACUAGGUAAGUUCUAACAAACUUAGUGAGUUCCAAAGAUAAACAAUAAACAUUCAAAUAACGUUUUCGAGAAGUGAAAUUUAGCUAGACUUUUACCACACUUAGUAAUACCAACAAUUCACACACAAAUAUGCCAAUAUAGUCGUGUACGAUCUAUUGGCGGAUUCAUAACACCACACAAUUUGGGUUCAUUGGUGGAUACUAUCCGCCACUAAAUGCAAAUAUUAGUAACUUAAAUUUUUAUGAGAAUAAUAGAUAUGUCAAAUCACAAACAUAGAAAAUUUCACACCACAAUCAAAGUUAGCUCACAUGCGAAUACUCUUCACUGUUAAGUACAAAUCACGCGGAUACUUUUCAUGGUUAAGCACAAUUCUUGUGGAUACUCAGUCAUUUAAGCACUAUUCACAUGCAUUAACCUUACGUAACACUUGCAUGCUUUGCAUGGAUUUUUUAUGAACCUCUUCCCUGUGUUAGCUUUUGAUCCACAUAUUACUCUAAAGAGCCAUGAUUUCAUAUUCAUGAUAAUGCUUUAUUGAGCCAGCGUUUCAUAUCCAACUGAACCUCUACAAAUUCUCCUUGUUAAUUCGAACACUUACGUGUUCCCCUGCAAAGUCGGGGCAUUCACUAAUCGCAGUUUGCAUUUACAUGUCGUACCAGAGGUAAAACUCAUUUCAUAUCAUAAUCUCCAUACAUUUCUCCCAUCACAUCUCAUCAAUUUCCACCAUUUUCCUCUUUCCACCAUUCUAGAUACAGAGCUUGUGCGCCAAGGAAGAGUGUAUAUUCACAACCAUUCAUUCAUAUACUAUAUACAAUUAUGCACAACUGAUUGUAAAUAAACUUACUUAUAUAGAAGUCAACAUUAACAAGACAUUAGUUGAGAUUUAAUAGGAACAUAAAUGAAAGGAACUCACCAAGGAUUACCAGGAAAUGCCUUGCCUAUUGUAUGGGUUCUUUCCCUUUUGGACUAGAGCAUUCUCUUGUUUCUUUAGCUAAAAUCAAACACUCUAUUAAGUACAUAAACGACUAAACUUUUAAUGGAAAAACAAUAAUAAAAAACAUGCAAACAUUAACCAGAAAGAAGUUUCCUUCCCUCUGACUUCCCAUAGAAACCUUUAUAAAUAGUUCCUACAACCCUAUCAUUCUCUAGUAUUAAUCUUAAAGAAGGAAUCGAGAGUUUACCAAUAGUUGGCUUGAAAAAGUCAGUUACUAAUCAAGCUAAAGGCACAUUCUCCAUACAACUAAGAAUACACAUUAGGUUUUUUCUAACAAAAAAAAGGAUGAACAGAGAAACGGGAAAUAAAGUCCUUUUCUGUUAAGCUUUCAUCCUAUUUAUAUAGGAAUUAGCUCGUAAUUCCACUAUAAUGGGUUACCUAAUCACUUUACAUGCACACACGAUUCCACUAAUCUCACACAGUUCCACUAAUCUCACAUAGUUCCACUAAUCAGACACAAUUCCACUAAUCAAACAUCAUUAACGAGGCUCUACAAGUGUCAUGCAAAAUGACACGUUUCCUACAUAUGACUUGACACAUUUCUUGUACGUGUCAUACCUAAAACACCCCUAACCCAAAUUAGAAUAGGGUUACAGAGCAUUACUUAAUAAAUAAAACCUUAUGACAUACAUUUCAUACAUUGAUAUACACAUAAUAUAAUUCAUUCAUUCAUGGACAUAUCGUCUCUAAAUCGAGCCCUCAAUGCCCUAAAAAUACUUUAGAAACAAUUCGAGACUAAAUUGGAAGCAUUUAAAAAGUUUAAGAAAAAGCUAAAAAAUUUGAACUGCAGGGAUCACACGGCCGAGACACACGCCCGUGUCUCAAGCUAUGUAACAAUUGAAAUAGGGACACACGGCCAUGUCCCAACCCAUGUUCUCACCCAUGUAACUUUUUGAGUUUGGUCGCAUGGCCAAGCCACAUACCCGUGUGCUAGGCCGUGUAACUCUCGAAAUAGCCACACACGCCUAUGUGCUAGGCCGUGUAAUAGCCAAACUUGCAUGUAUGAAAACCUAAAGGAGACAUAUGGCCGUGUUGCUUGGCCAUAUGUCACACACGACUGAGUCACACGCCAGUGCCUUAGGCCAUGUGGACAUGAAUUUUUCCCAAAACAUGCCAUUUCCAUCACCAAUUCAAGCAACCAUCUAAAGGCCUUUAGAACACUUCAUCAAAGCAUCAAAACAUGACCAAAUCAAUAGUUCAAUAUCAUUCAACCAAUAUUCCAUACAAGGCACCUCAAAACCAUUCAUCCACAACUUACCUAAACAUGCCAAAAACCUACCACAAAGUCAAGCAUCAUAUCACAUUACCUACUAAGCUUAAACACAUAACACAAUUGAAACACUCUUACUCCAUCACUUUGAACCAAAAAGGUUUUAUACAUAUACUACAUAUAAGUGUUCCAAAAGGGCUUAUCUAAAUAUGCAACAUAAAUCCAAAUACCAUUCAAUAACAUCAAGCAUAAACGUACCAAUUUCUAAUAUUUACAUAUUCACCAAAAUGUCAUAAUACUAAGGACCUCUCCUAAUACAUGCCAAUUUAACCAAAUACAACAAAAACCAAAAUGACUACUGAGAUAAUUAUGGUAGUGUGUGAGCUUCCAAGUUGAUCCAAUCAAAGCAACGAUUCCAAGAGUCCUACAAAAACAAAUUAAACUAAUAAGCAUAAAGGAGCUUAGUAAGUUCGAUAAUAAACUUAUUUGCUAUCAACUACCAAAUUUCCAAAUGAUGUUAAAUUUUAAUACACCGAAACUAAGCUUGCUAGGCACAAAGCCUGAAUAACACUGGCACCAAGCCUGCUAGUCAAAAGCCUGAAUAACGCCGACACCAAGCCUGCUAGGCACAAAGCUUGAAUAACAAUAUAAUUCAACAUUUAAACAUCAUUCAUAAUAGAAUUUAGAGAUUAAAUAAUUAACAUGGUAUUAAAUUCAACUAAAAAUAAACAUAUAACGAACUUACAGGACUAGAUUGUAGAAAUUGCAAAGCACAUGAACUACUCCGUAAUCUUUCCUUUUCCACGAUCUUCAACUUGUUCAUGAUCUAAAAUAAUAGUUUCAUUCAAUUGAGUAUUUCUAAAUAUCAAUUUAAUCCAUAAUUCAUUUUUAUACAAAAUUACCAUUUUGCCCAAAGUAUUUUAACUUUUCACAAUUUAGUCCUUAAUCUAACAAAUUGAAAUCUAAGCAUUUUAAUCUCCUAAUCAAGCUAACCGAAUUUACUAUGGACUUAUAUCAACCCAAAUAAACCAUUAUUUCAUAAAUUUAACAUUAAUUUUACCAUUUUUACAAAUAAAUCCCUAAAUGUAAAUUUCAUCCAAAACUCAAGAUUAAUUCAAGAAUAAUUCAAGAACAUUAAUGGAAUAACCCUCAAUCUUUAAUAGUUUUACAAAUUAAUCCUUGGGCUAGUUAGAUUAAGCUACAACGAUCCCGAAAAUAUAAAAAUCAUUAAAAAUCGGGCUUUAAUGCAUACCAUGCAAGAAGAAAUAGGAAACAAAGCUUUAUCCCCCUUCCUAUGGUGAUUUCGGCAUGGACAAGGUAAAAAGAAAAAGAUGAUAGUUUGAUUUCAUUCUUUUCUUAACUUAAUUUUCCUUUUAAUUACUAAAUUACUAUUUUAACCUUUAAAAACUUCCAAAACAACAAUAAUACCUUUCCAUGCACAUCCAUUCACUCAUACAUAUGGUCUAAUUACUAUUUAAGUCCAUUCAAUUUGAAGUUCAAAGCCAAUUGACCCUUUUUGUUAAUAGAACUCUACUUUUACAUUUUUUUAUGAUUUAGUCCUUUUUACUUAAUUGAUCAUGCAAACAUUAAAAUUUCUUGACAAAAUUUUGAUACGACCUUAAUAAUAUCCUAUAGAUAUUAAAAUAAUAAUAAACUAAUAAUUUACUCAUUAGAUUUGUGGUCUCAAAACCAUUGUUCCAAUUUUACUGAAAACGAGCCGUUACACUACAGAUUGUAGAUUCUAAAGUAAUAGAUCUAUGUGCCACAAUUGAACUCGCUAAUGGCGGGUUCACAACGGAAAAUCUUUCCAAAUGCGAAUUAAGGAUCCGCAAGAUGGCGAAAACUAGUGGAACGUUCCACAAGAGAAACUUCACCAAAUAAAACAAAUCAAUUCUUUGUGAAUUUGACUAGCUCAUACGUGAGUCAUCGCCAAGCUCACUCGAUCAACCGACCAAGAUGCAAAUAGGAAAUACUUGGGCAUGACAUUCUAAUCAACAACACCUGAUGUGCUUGAGGAACCAGGAAUUGUGCCAAAAUUUGUGCCAAUAGUUUCAAGCAUUAUUGUGUCUUCAAUAGGCAGAUCGAGUUUUUUGUUUUGAAACUUUGAAUUUUUGUGGAUUUUUUGGGGAAAUCUAAAUUGAGAAAGAGAAAGGGGAAAGGACAAGUUUCGUUUUAGAGUGAGAAGCAAGGUCACUGGAUGAUGUGGAGGUAGCAGCAUAAGAGUGGCAACUAGGGUUCAUGGUGGAAGAAAGAAGAAAAUAAAAAGAAAGAAGAGAGAUAAAAAAAAGGAAGGAAGGAAAAGAAAGAAAAGAAAAGAAAUGUUGUUUUUAAUGAUUUAAAUAUAUAUUAUUCUAUUGUAAAAAUGUAUAUGGUAAUAAAUUUAAAUAUAUAUAUUUUAUUUUUUAAUGAUUUUUACCUUCAAAAAAAUAUUCUUAUGUUUUUUCUUUCAUUGUGGCCCACUCUACCACAUGGCACUUUAUUAGUGGGCCACAUGUAAAUUUUUGACAAAAAUUAACAUUGUUAGGUUAGAGUAUCAAAAUGAUACACAAAAUAAAAUUUCAGGUAUCACAUUGAACAAAUUGAAAGUAGAGGUACCACAUUGAGAAUUUUGUUAAAGUACAUGGGGAUAUUUUACCAUUAUCCCCUUUUUCUUCUUUUUUUCAAAUAAUGUUUUUUUUAUUUUUCGAUUAUUUUGUCAUUUUUUGAUAUAUUUUAAAAUUAAAUGGUUAAAUAUUAAAGCCACAUACGUGCCAUCAUGUCAUUGGCUCGUUGCUUCUUUUUUAACAGUAGUUUAUUUUUGGACUAAAAACCGUAACAAUUUGAAAUUUUAGGUAUUUAAUUAGGCCAAAAAUAUUAGGUACCAAUGUGGGAAAAAUGAUAUACUUCAGGGGUCAAUUUAUGAACUAAGCCUAAUGAAAAUUAAGGGUUUUAAAUUAGGAACUAAAUGUUUAUUUAAAUUCAAUUUUUAAGGACUUAUUAAAUAAAGUGUAGAAAUUCAAGGAUUUUUUAGUAUGUUAACCCAUUCACGAGUUGUGUUUAAUCAUACGUACAAAGAUGUUGCAACAAUAGUUAGUAGUCAUUGCUAGGGGUGAGCAUUCGGUCAAAUUGAGUAGAAUUGAGUGAAAAAAUUGAUCGAGUUGAUGAGUCCUAUUUUAUCAUCCUAACUCGAUUUAAAAUUUUUUUGAAUCGAGUCGAGUGAAAUGAAAUUCAAGACGAAUCGAAUCGACUGAAAUUAUUCGAGUUAAAUAAAAAAAGUAAACAUGUCAAAUUAAAAUAUUGUUACAGUAUAACUAAUUCCAUGUUAGAGCACAUAAAUUUGAAACCAUAUAUAUUUGAAAGCUUUUUCAAAGCAAAAUAAGAAAAAAAAAAUUUAGUAUGAUAAACUUGAAUUAUUAAUUAACUUAUUCAGAUCCCCAAAUUAUUAUUUUAAUUUUUUUUAAAUUUUUAACUUUCUUUAUAUAUUCUUUAUAAUUUUAUUAAAAUUUAUUUUAAAAGUAUAAAAUUUGGAAUAUUUAUAAAUAUUUUAAAUUUUUAAAAAUUUUUAAUUUUUUUAAUUUUUGUUGAGAGUGAGACCAAUUUGCUCAAUUUCAAAAUUGACAGGGACCAAAAGGGUAUUUACACCAAUCUAAUUUCUGAAUUAUGCGAGUUAUUCGAAUUGUAAAAUUAAAUUCGACUCGAACUUGAAUUAGUUCGAGUUCACUUGUAAAAAUCGAAUAACUUGAAUAACUCAAUACAAUUAACUUAAAAUUCAAUUUUUCUUUUCGAUUUUUUCGAAUCGAAUCGAAUCGAGUUUUGCUCAGCCUUAGCUGUGGCUCAUGUUUUAUAAAUAAUAUGAAAUAAUAAUGAUUUAUUUAGAUGUUUGUUAAAUUUUUUUAUAUUUAUUCAAGGGUGUCUUAAUUUUUUAAUUAAAAAAUAAAAUAUAAAAUUUGCAUGUGGUUGUUUUUGAACUUAAGCUAUUUAUAUUAACUUGAUGUGUUUAAAUUUUAUUUUACUCACAAUUUAAUCUAAUUUCCUCAUUUUAAUCUUGUAUAUAUUUCAUGUAUUAUUAUUAAUUAGUUUCAAAUUAUACAUUUCGUUAUUAUUAAGCUAAACUUUAUUUGAUAAAUAUUUUGAUACAACAAAUAUAAUAUUUUUGAAUAAAACUUAAUAAAUUUCAAGUGACAAUUUGUUUCAAAAUAUUUCUAAGAGAAACUUUUAAAUUUAUCUUUCAAACAUUUAGAAAAUAUUUUCAACUUGUUCAAAAUGGUAAACAAUUUUUUCAAAAAUUUUUAUCAAGUGUGAAACUGCUCCCAGAGAUCAAAGAAUCAAUACCUUCUUUAUGGUAUCGAUACCCUAACCCAAGUAUCGGUACCCCUGCCUCGUAUCAGUACCAAUUUGAGCUUCGAAGUUCAAAAAAAUUGAGCAAAAAUCAAAAGUAUCGAUACACUUAACAGAGUAUCGAUACCUUAUCCUUGUAUCGAUACAUUUCCUAUUAUAUCGAUAUUAUAGGCUUAACUGUUACUGAUUUUAGGCGUCAAAUGCCCAAAGUAUCGAUACCCCUUCAAAUGUACCUUUUGUUGUAGGAGUUAUUAAUACUCUGGUUUUUACACCUCCAACGACUCAAUUCAUUUUCCCAACAACCCCAAUGAGUGGAAAUCAAUGAGAGGCUAUAAAUACCAACUUGCAAAGCUUCUACAACAACAAGAGAGAUUACAAGAGAUUAAGAGCUAUCAAGAAACAUCAAGAAAUUUAUUACCAUUUGUGCUUAAAUUUUUCAUCUUUUUCUUGUAAACACUUGUGAGCAUUCAUAGUAUUUUCUUAGCUCGGGUGUUUUUAUUGGGUGUGUGCUUCAUUUGCAAACAUUCUAAUCUUGUGAAGAUUGUUUUUUUGUUGGCUUAUUUGUUUGCUCUUUUGAGAGGGUUUGUGUUUUAAGAUUUAGGUAGAAAUCUUAAGGGAGUUCUAAGGUUAAGUCCUGUCCUCAAAGGUUCAUCAAAUUAGUGAAUUUGAGAAAAUUCUUAAUAGUGAAAAGCUAAGAUAGUAGAGUUGGUAAUUGGGGCUGAACCACUUUAAAAUUAUUGUGUUCAUUGUAUCAUUUUCUUAUUCUUGCUUUCACAAAAGUUUUAAAGGUCUAACUCACCCCCUCUUGGCUUUUUCGGUUGAUCGAUUGAGCUAACAACUAAAAUUUUGAUAUUUAUUCGAAGGUAUCUUAGUUUUUUAAUUAAUAAUAAAUUUGCAUGUGGUUGGAUUUGAACUUGUGCUAUUUAUAUUAACUUGAUGUGUUUAAAUUUUAUUUUACUCACAAUUUAAUCUAAUUUCCUCGUCUUAAUAUUAUAUAUAUUUCAUGUAUUAUUAUUAAUUAGUUUCAAAUCAUAUUACUUCUAUCUUAUAUUUAAAAGAUUAAAAAAUAUAUAAAAAUAUAAAAAUUAUAGAAAUAGUUGAAAAGAAGUGACGAUGCUUUUGCUUUUUCUUUCUGUAAUGAAAAAAAAAACUCGUUUUUUGAAAAUAUUAUAAUUUAUUGAAUUAUUUUUAAAACAAAAAAAAAUCAACAAUAAGUUUAAAUAUAUAAAUGAAUAUUCAUUUUGAAAAUCUAAAAAAAUUAUUGUUAUGAACCAAUUUAAAUAUCUAAAAUAUUUGUGUUAAAACUAAAUUAAAUUUAAGCGGUGAAUAUUCUUUAGCUCAUAUAUCUAUGCGCUAUAAAUUAAUAUCAAAUAAUAAAUUUAAUGUAUAAAUUCAUAAAAAUGUAAAUUAUUGUGUUAAAAAUUUAAUUCUUUAUUAUACAUUCAAUUAUUAUAUAUAUAAAAUGAUUGUGUUAGGCUUAGGCUUAAAUUUAUAAUUUAAUUUUUUAUACUUUUAUUUGAUCUAAUUUAUUCUCUAUUAUUAUAAGAUAAGAUAAUUAUUAGUUUUUCUUUGGCCACAUAUAAUGUAAUUAGUUAAGGGGUUUUUUUGUUGAUAGAUUGUUAGAGUGUAUUUGAUAAAUCAUUAAAAAAUUUCGACAUUUAGUUGUUUAGUUGUGUUUGAUAAUCAUAUUAACCUUUAGGUUUUCAACAAAAAAAAAUGUUGAAUAUGAUAAGUAAGAUAAUUAGUUACUUAUUACUUAAUAUUGAAAAUGUUAAUGAGAUUUUAUUUUUCAAAAUCUUAUUUUUGAAAUAAAUUAUUUCAUCAAUUUAUUAAAAAUUAAAAAUUACAAAUUCAAAUUAUUAUCUUUAAUUUUUAUAAAAAUAACUCAAAAUAAAAUCAUAUUAAUAAGAUUAAAAUUAUAAAAUAAUAAAUUUUCAAAAAUCAAGAUUUAUUAUUAUCAAACAAAAUAAUAAUAUUCAAGAAUUAAUUUUUACUAAUAUAUCAAACAUUUUUAUAAUAUAAAUUUAAUACUUAUAAAAUUCAGUAUUUACAGCAUUUAAUUUUUCAAUUGAUGAACUUCCUUAACGGUUUUGCAAGUUUGGUUUUUCUUAUGACUAGUUUAUAAACAACUCCGGCUUACAAACCUAGAAAGGGUUAAGACAGAAAUCUGUCCAAUGUGUUAAUACGAAACAAACGACAUUUUACAUGUUUUCAGAUCUAGAAAUUGAUUGUGCCAAAAGCAAUACAAUUUAUUUGAAUGGGUCAAAACAAAUCUAGGAAGUCAUGGGCAGCUAACAAGCUUGAAGUCCCUUGAUCAACACAGGGCUCCCGUAGAGUUUUGUAAAAAUUAUUAAAAUAUUAGCAAGUUGGGCGUAGUAUAACGCAAUUAGUAGCGGGAUUCCAUCUAGGUUUAGUAAUUUAGAUGAUCUCUCCAAGAAGUGUUUAAAUAGUAGGGUAGGAGAAUGUUAGUUUUAAUAUGAGUAAUUUAGGAUGAUAAUAUAGAGGUUUUAUAAGAUUAAAAUAAAAAUUUGACCAAAGGAAGCCUAUGGCUAUAUAUAGAAUGUAGUUUUUUUUUUAUUUAAAUAGAAUAAUAGAUUAUGUAGGUAUCUAAGCGAUAUAUCAGAUAUAGAUAUGGAUACAGAGAGAAUCUGAAACUUACAACCAAACAGCCAUGAACCCAAUCACAACUAUCCAACUCAGCAUUCUAACAUCUCAUAUUCCACUUCAUCUUAUCUUUCCUUCCACCACUAGUCCUUCCAUCCCCCGAAUCUAAAACUCAUCCUUCCCCUUCCCUUUCAAAUCCUCCUCCCCUCCUUCAUCACCACACACCACAACUACUAUACUCCCAAAAUGUCUCUUACAAUCCCCACUAACCUCUCCAAAUCCCUUUUGAAGCCAAAGAUAAACUCCCAACUCACCCCCAAAGUUUCACGAUCAUUGGUGGUAUGCUCCACCGACAAGACUUCAUCGCCACCAUCAUCAGCUUCACCACUCCAAGCCUUCUCAGCAGCUCUUGCUCUUUCUUCCAUUCUUCUCUCAGCCCCGCAGCCUGCCGUAGCUGAUAUUGCAGGCCUCACACCAUGCAAAGAGUCCAAGCAAUUCGCCAAACGUGAGAAGCAGCAGAUCAAGAAGCUGGAAUCGUCGUUGAAGCUAUACGCCCCUGACAGCGCUCCAGCUCUCGCUAUCAAAGCAACCAUCGAGAAAACCGAGAGACGGUUUGACAACUAUGGGAAGUACGGGCUGUUGUGUGGGUCUGAUGGGUUGCCUCAUUUGAUAGUGAGCGGUGAUCAGAGGCACUGGGGUGAGUUCAUCACGCCUGGUCUCUUGUUCUUGUACAUCGCUGGAUGGAUCGGGUGGGUUGGAAGGAGCUACCUCAUUGCUAUUAGCGAUGAUAAGAAGCCUGCCAUGAAGGAGAUCAUCAUUGACGUGCCUUUGGCUACCGGUCUUAUCUUUAGAGGCUUUAUUUGGCCUGUCGCUGCUUACAGAGAGCUUAUCAAUGGUGACCUUGUUGUCAAGGACGUUUAAUCUCCUCAGGUCCUUCUUCUCUUUCUCUUCAAAAAAAUUCCCCUUUUUUUUUGUUUUUUUUAUACAGUAAUUCAAGCAUGUUUUUGCCUUAUAGUGUAAGGGUUAACAUGUGUUGGCCAUAUUCCAUCUAAUUAUGUUGAACCUUACUAUUCUAAAGUAGUAAAUUAGUAAUCUGAAAUAGUGUCAUAAAACCUUGCAAUCUUAUAUUCCGAAUCCAAUUUUCCAACCCAAAAUUCGGUAUUUCAUUUAUUAAUCAUGUUAGCAACAAUUUUUUUAUUUAAAAAAUAUCACAUUAAACUUCAAUUAUUGAAUCAAAUAAUAGAUUCUUGAGAUUAAAAGUAGAAGUAGUAAUUUCAAAUGUGUAGAAGGUAAAGGGAUCGAGAGUAAAUUAUACCACCAUACAUCUAAGCUUAUAUGAUUAUAACUCGUCUUAUUGUCGUUGUAAUAUUCUAAAUUUUAAAAGGAAGGGUGAAAUUAAUGAAGAAAGGAAAUAGAAGAACAUACAAAUUGCCUUCAUUUUCUUGGUGUAUUAAUUUUGGUUUUUAUUUUUACAGGGAUCGAAUGGAAGGACUUGAACUCCAAGGAAUAGCUAGGGAAGAAGAUGGGAGUGCUUUUAGACUGAAUAUUCUUGGUGGGAAAUUUCUUGUACUUAAAAAAUGUUGUUUAAAAAAAACAUACUUUUGAGUCUUAUGUAAUGCUAAUGUUGAAACAUUUGUUAACUGAACGACUUUCCAUUUCAAUCUUUGUUAUCCAUAUUCAUGUGACAAUAUGUGUUAUAAAAGGGAAUCGUAGGAUACCAUGAAAUCUUGAAAAUAUUAAGGAGAGAGAGAAAUAGACGGUCAAAUUAAUCACAAUAAAAAGUUGUCAAAAAAUAAUUAUAGGUAAUGUGGAACCUAAUCUAUUUUGUGCUGGCAACCUUAUAGUCAUGCCCAAGAAAGAAAUGGUGAAGCACCGGCUGAAAAUGCCGAGCUUGGGUUUCCUUUUUAAAACUAUAUAUAUAAUAUUUGCAUGUCCUCUGGUUUAGAGACCUCUGUAUUGGACCAUCACUUCUGACUUAAACAUACCAUUUUCUCUGUUUGUAGUUCACUUUUCAUAGUGAUAUUGCACGACAUAUAAAACCAAUACGUUGGGUCGUGAUCAUUCUAGAAUCCACAAUUGUAAUUGUUUGAGACUGUUAUACCUAAUCACCUCACAGAGCCAACCGUUUUGGUUAAGAGAAGUUCGUUCAUGGAAAAGCUUGUUUGAUUAAAUAUUCGCUUUCAUUCUUCACAGGGGUCAUUGUCAGAUCGAGUACCAUAAGGAUCCAAUAAGAGGUCCUUCCUAUUACAUCUCAGUAAGGAUCUUCAUAACAUUACUACCAACUCCUUAAUCUAUGUGCAUUUCUCCUCUCUUGAAAUCCCUUCUAUUUUUGAUAUGUUCUUCUUGCUCCAUGUUUCCUUUGGUAAACAAAAGUGCUAGUUGAAUCUGAAAGAUACACUGUCCACAAAAUAUCUUUAAGGAAGUGUUAGUCACAUCUCAAGCAUCGCCCUCUUACUUUUAGCCUUUAAUUCCAACAGUUUGAUAGACUUCAACAGACAAAAUUAAGAUAUCACAUGUAUGAGAAAUGAUAAACCUUUUUGUUAACUCAAAUAAUCAAACUGACAUAGUCAAGAGGGGAUGAAUUGACCUUUUAAAAAAUAUGAUGGAAACAAUGAAAGAACAUGAAACAAUAAAUGCAACAAUUUAUAGUGGUUCAAUCCCAAUUGCCUACUCCACUACUUAACUUUUCACAUCUAAUGAUAUUCCCAAAUUCACUAAUUUGAUAACAUUUGAGGACAAGGUUUAACCUUACGAACUUCCUUAAGGUUUCUACCCAAACCUUAAGACACAAACCCUCUCAAAGAGAAAUAAAUAAGCAAACAAAGAAAUAAUUCUCACAAGAUUAGGAUGUUUGCCAAUCAAGCACAAAUACAAGGAAAACACUUGAGCUGAUAGAAAAUACAAUGAAUGCUCACAAGUGUUUACAAGAAGAAGAUAAAGAAUUAAAGCAUAAAGUGAUUGGUAAUAGAUUUUUGAUUUAUCUUGAAACACUUGAUCUAUUGUAAUCUCACUUCUUGUUGUAGGGCCUUUAAAAAUUGGUAUUUAUGUCCUCUAAUUGAUUUCCAACCGUUGUGGUUGUUAAGGAAUUGAAUAGAGCCGUUGGGGAUGGAAAUAUCAAAUCAUUAAAUUCACCUACAACAAAAGGUAUCGAUACUUUUUCUACAAGUAGAUAAUGUUAGCAUUUAAUGCCUGAUUCAAUGACCGUUAAAGUUAGUUUACAAUGAUACAAAAGACAUUUUAUUGAUACCUGGUAAAAGGUAUCUCAAUACUUUUUGUAAUUGUUUGAAAAAUUAUCAAGUAAGAAUGCAAAAACAGUAUCAAUAUCAAAGAUGGCAUCGAUAAAAAUAGAAUAGGUAUUGAUACUUUUUGAAAAGGUAUCGAUCCUUAUUGUGAUUGUUCAAUUUUUGUUUCAAGUCAAUAAGCAAGAUUGAUAUCGAACUUAAAAAAGGUAUCAAUGAAAAUUGUAUGGGUAUUGAUACUUUAUGAAAGGUAUUGAUACGUUUUGUAGGGAACAAAUUUUCAAUCGAUUUAAAAAUGUUUCAAUUGAGUUAAAAAAUUUUAAACCAUUUUUGAAAUUUUCCCAUAACUUUUUCUAAGUGUUCAACACAUUUUCUAAGAUGUUUGGAACUCUUGAAAUGACUUUUAUGCUUUGAACUUUAUAAUUUCUUUGUUCAAAAACAAAUUUUAUUAAAAAACAUUUUUGUUUGUUAUAUCAAAACAAUUUAUCAAAUAAAGCUAGUUUAACAAUCUCCCCUUUUUUGAUAUAACAAAACAUUUUGGUAAAUUUAUUUUUGAAUUUGCUACUCCCCAUUGUUAAAGUUCAAUUUGAAUCAAAGACUUGAUUUUAUAAUUUUGAAACAAUGACUUGAGUGUGAAAAACUGGUCACUUAGGUGUUGACAUUAAAAUAUUAAUCAUUAAAAAUUAGUCAACCAAAUACCAAUUAAAUUUACCUUUCUUUCUCCCCUUUUUUAUUAUAUAAAAAAAACCAACAAAUAAAUCUUAGAAGGAAAAGAAAGUGGUUAACCCAAAGAUAGAUAUUUGAAAGUAAAGACAAGUGAACUAACAUUUCCAAAUAAACUUUAAGGUAUAAAAUACCAAAUAAACAUUAAGGUGCAAUUGCAUAAAAAUAGGAAAAAAAAUAACUUAAAGGAUGCAAACAUUUUGGCCAUUUCUAAUGAUUUCAUACACCUAACUGUAUAGAAUAAAAAACAUGAUGUAUAUGAAUCAUAGAUUAUCAUAAAAUAUGCAAAAAUUGAAAAUUUACAUCAAAUAAAGUCUAAUUGAGCACAUUCAAAGGCAUUCAAAAAUUUGUAUACUAGACAAUAUUGGUCAAGAUAGAUUAACCAUGCAACCAUUAACUCCCCCUAACUAAUUGCAUAUGGAAGCCAUAUAAAUCAUGCAUAAAUACUUUUGCAAUCAAUAUUAAUUCGUAAAACAUUUUGAAAACAACAAAGUGCAAAAAUUUAUUUGAACACGAAAUCAAGGUAAGGUAGUAAUACUUAGUUCUCUCCUAAGUGUCCAAAAUCUUUCCUUGUCUAAAGGUUUUGUAAAAAUAUCAUCUAAUUGAUGUAAAGUGUCUACAUAUUCUAGAACUAUAUCUCUUUUUUGGACGUGAUCUCUAAUGAAAUGAUGUCUUAUUUCAAUUUGUUUAGUCCUACAAUGUCAGAUGAGAUUUUUAGUGAGACAAAUAGCACUAGUAUUGUCACACUUGAUAGGAAUUAUAUCUACACCAAUUUCAUAGUCCAUAUGUUGUUGUUUCAUCCAUAAAGCUUGAGCACAACAACUACUAACAAAGAUGUAUUUUUCUUUGGUGGUGGACAAUGUAACACUAUUUUGUUUCUUUAAAAAUCAUGAUAUAAACAUGUUGCCUAAGAUUGACAAGUACCAAAGGUGUUUUUCCUACCCAAUUUUCAACCUCCAGAAUCCGCAUCCAAGAAAGCAUGCAAGCUAAAGAAUGACUCUCUAAGAUACCAAUUUCUUAAAUUAGGAGUGUCUUUGAGGUACCUAAAAAUUCUCUUACCGGCUUGUAAAUGAGAUUCCUUAGGACAAGAUUGAUAUUAAGCACACAAACAAACACUAAACAUAAUGUCAGGUCUACUUGCGGAAAUAUAAAGCAAAGAACCAAUCAUUGACCUAUAUAAUUUUAUAUCUACAUAUUUACCUUAUUCAUCUUUGUCAAUCUUUGUAGAGGAGCACAUAGGUGUAGUUUGUGGUUUGAGAUUAUCCAUCCCAAACUUCAUGAGCAUUUCCCUUGUGUACUUAGCUUGACUGAUGAAGAUGUCAUCCUUCAUUUGCUUGAUUUAGAGUCCCAAAAAGAAUUUUAUUUCUCUCAUCAUGCUCAUAUCAAAUUCACCUUGCAUUAUAUUUGAAAAACUCUUCACAAAGAAAAUCAUUAGUAGCACCAAAGAUAAUGUCAUCAACAUAAAUUUGUACCACUAAUAAAUAUUUGUCUUUUCUUUUGAUAAAAAGUGUUAUGUCAACCUUCCCUUUACAAAAACCUUUUUUUAGUAAGAAAAUUUGAUAAUCUUUUAUUAAAGAAUCCAUUCUAGGAAGGAAGUUAAAAUCAUCAAAAACAACAUGUAUGGACUUUUCAACUAUUAAACUUCUUUAAUUAAAGACUCGAUAAAAUUUAGAAUUUAAGGAAUAACCAAGAAAAAUUCCUUCAUCACAUUUUGCAUCAAAUUUGCCAAAAUUAUCUUUUCCAUUAUGAUUAAAUACUAAAGUUACAUAUUUUAUGUAAUUAAUUUGGUAUAUUUAUGAGAAUGCACCACUAAUUUUGCCAUAUUUAUUGAAUUUUGUGCAUGAAUGUAAUUUGGGGCUAAAUAGAAGAAAAAGGAAACAAUUGGGCUGAAUUGAAGAAAGAAGCGAAAAAGGAGGGCCAAAGAAGAAUUUUUUCAAGAUUAAUUAGCUGAAAUUUUUGAGUUAGUGGGAGAAUAUUUUGGGAUUUAUUUUAUUUUGGGAUAUUUUUUCCUUAAUUUCCUAUGACUAGUUGGCUCCUAAUUUAGUAAAUCAACUAGUAUAAAUAGAGCUUGUAUUGUUCAUCAUUUCAUCAAUCAAAAAAAUAUUUUAGCUUUUGUCUUUCAAUUCUCUCCUUUCUCACGUAGCCUUUGUUAUUUCUUAGCUUGCUUUCCUUCAAUUUAUUAGUUCCAGUAGCCAAUCAUCCAUUUCACCUUUAUUUUCAACUUUUCACAAAUUUAUUUAUUGUUUUUAGUUUCUUUAACUUUCAAUUCCCAAAACUUCCAGCUUGUUACUAUUUAUCAUUUACAACUCCUUUUUCAAAUUCCCUUUUCAACCACCCCACUUUAAUAUAUUUCAACCUCCAUACUCAAUCACAUCACCCAUCUUUUCACCCAUAUACCCUAUUUAUCAAAUACCAACAUGUCCCAAACCUUAGCCAACUAAACUCAUUUUCAGCUUUAGGCCGAAAUUAACCUCGUCAAAACCCGUGAGUUACGAACCCGAGCCAUUUAACUCGUAAAAUUCCAGUACUUAUUACUUCUCCGGAUUAAGAGUAUGAUUUUGUCAGCUCAUAAAGUCAGAUCAACACUAAGUCAAAAAAGACGUCGUUUGAU
rnacentral:lncRNA from 1 species